CUGAUGUGUCAGCAAAUCCUGUUGCCUGUUCCUUCAGAAUGCCUGCUUCUCACUGCCUCUCCAGCUACUGCUCCGGCCAGAGCCACCACGGGCUCAAUCCUGCCUUUGGAUGUUCCCGCCUCAGUGCGUUCCCUGCUGCCCUCCUUGGCCCCUACAGUCUGGUCUCAACCCCGCAGCCAGAGGGCUCCUGUUAAAGACAGAGGAGUGGAAUGUCACGUGGAACACCAGCAGCCCCGACUUCACCAAGUGCUUUCAGAACACCGUCCUCGUGUGGGUGCCUUGCUUUUACCUUUGGGCCUGCUUCCCCUUCUACUUCCUCUAUCUCUCCCGCCAUGACCGGGGCUACAUUCAGAUGACACAUCUCAACAAAGCCAAAACUGCCUUGGGAUUUUUGCUAUGGAUCGUCUGCUGGGCAGACCUCUUCUACUCUUUCUGGGAAAGAAGUUUGGGCAAGCUCCUGGCCCCAGUGUUUCUGGUCAGCCCAACCCUCUUGGGCAUCACCAUGCUGCUUGCUACCUUUUUAAUUCAGAUCGAGAGAAGGAGGGGAGUCCAGUCCUCAGGGAUCAUGCUCACUUUCUGGCUUAUAGCCCUACUGUGUGCCCUGGCCAUCCUGAGAUCCAAAAUCAUGACUGCCUUAAAAGAGGACGCCCAAGUCGACGUCUUUCGCGAUGUCACUUUCUACAUUUACUUUGCCCUCGUGCUGAUCCAGCUUGUGCUGUCCUGCGUCUCAGACCGCUCACCCCUGUUCUCCGAAACCAUCCACGAUCCCAAUCCUUGCCCAGAAUCCAGCGCCUCCUUCCUUUCCAGGAUCACCUUCUGGUGGAUCACAGGGAUGAUGGUCCAGGGCUACCGCCAGCCCCUGGAGAGCACUGACCUCUGGUCCCUGAAUAAGGAGGACAUGUCAGAACAAGUUGUGCCCGUUUUGGUAAAGAACUGGAAGAAGGAAUGUGCAAAAUCCAGAAAACAGCCGGUGAAGAUCGUGUACUCCUCCAAGGAUCCCGCCAAGCCGAAAGGGAGUUCCAAGGUGGAUGUGAACGAGGAGGCCGAGGCUUUGAUUGUCAAGUCCCCUCAGAAGGAUUGGAAACCGUCCCUGUUCAAGGUGUUAUACAAGACCUUUGGGCCCUACUUCCUCAUGAGCUUCUUGUUCAAGGCUGUGCACGACCUGAUGAUGUUUACCGGCCCAGAGAUCUUAAAGUUGCUCAUCAGCUUCGUGAACGACAGGAAGGCCCCAGACUGGCAGGGCUACUUCUACACGGCGCUGCUGUUCAUCAGCGCCUGCCUGCAGACCCUCGUGCUGCACCAGUACUUCCACAUCUGCUUCGUCAGCGGCAUGCGGAUCAAGACCGCCGUCAUCGGGGCUGUGUACCGGAAGGCCCUGGUGAUCACCAAUUCAGCCAGAAAAUCGUCCACUGUCGGGGAGAUCGUCAACCUCAUGUCUGUGGACGCCCAGAGGUUCAUGGACCUGGCCACGUACAUUAACAUGAUCUGGUCAGCCCCUCUGCAAGUCAUCCUUGCCCUCUACCUCCUGUGGCUGAACCUGGGCCCCUCCGUUCUGGCUGGAGUGGCUGUGAUGAUCCUCAUGGUUCCCCUCAAUGCAGUGAUGGCCAUGAAGACCAAGACCUACCAGGUGGCCCACAUGAAGAGCAAAGACAAUCGGAUUAAGCUGAUGAAUGAAAUUCUCAAUGGGAUCAAAGUGCUAAAGCUUUACGCCUGGGAGCUGGCAUUCAAAGACAAGGUACUGGCCAUCAGGCAGGAGGAGCUGAAGGUGCUGAAGAAAUCUGCCUACCUGGCCGCCGUGGGGACCUUCACCUGGGUCUGCACGCCUUUCUUGGUGGCCUUGUGUACGUUUGCCGUCUACGUGACCGUCGACAAGAACAACAUCCUGGAUGCCCAGAAGGCCUUCGUGUCCUUGGCCUUGUUCAACAUCCUUCGCUUCCCCCUGAAUAUUCUCCCCAUGGUCAUCAGCAGCAUCGUGCAGGCGAGUGUCUCCCUCAAGCGCCUCAGGAUCUUCCUCUCCCACGAGGAGCUGGAGCCCGACAGCAUCCAGCGAUGGCCCAUCAAAGACGCUGGGGCCACAAACAGCAUCACCGUGAAGAAUGCCACGUUCACUUGGGCCAGGAGCGACCCUCCCACGCUGCAUGGCAUCACUUUCUCCAUUCCGGAAGGUUCCCUGGUGGCCGUGGUGGGCCAGGUGGGCUGUGGGAAGUCGUCUCUGCUCUCAGCGCUCUUGGCUGAGAUGGACAAGGUGGAGGGACACGUGGCUAUCAAGGGUUCAGUGGCCUACGUCCCCCAGCAGGCCUGGAUUCAGAAUGUUUCUCUCCGAGAAAACAUCCUUUUUGGACGCCAGCUACAGGAACGGUAUUAUAAGGCUGUGAUAGAAGCCUGUGCCCUCCUCCCAGACCUGGAAAUCCUGCCCAGUGGGGACCGGACAGAGAUUGGUGAGAAGGGCGUGAACCUGUCUGGCGGCCAGAAGCAACGUGUGAGCCUGGCCCGGGCCGUGUAUUGCGACUCCGACAUCUACCUCUUUGAUGAUCCCCUCUCUGCAGUGGACGCCCACGUGGGGAAGCACAUAUUUGAAAACGUGGUUGGCCCCAAGGGGAUGCUGAAGAACAAGACGCGGAUCCUGGUCACGCACGGCAUCAGCUACCUGCCCCAGGUGGAUGUGAUAAUCGUCAUGAGUGGUGGCAAGAUCUCCGAGAUGGGCUCCUACCAGGAGCUGCUGGCCCGGGACGGGGCCUUUGCGGAGUUCCUGCGCACGUACGCCAGCGCCGAUCAGGAGCAGGGGGAGCCCGACGACGGCACCAAUGUGAUGGAUGAGGAGGAAGGCUUAGCAGGUGUUGGCAGGCCAGGGAAGGAGGUGAAGCAGGUGGAGAACGGCAUGUUGGUGACGGACGCUGUGGGGAAGCAACUGCAGAGACAGCUCAGCAGCUCCUCCUACAGUGGGGACGUCAGCCGGCACCACACCAGCACCGCGGAGCUGCAGAAGCCCAGGCCCGUGGAGGAGGACACCUGGAAGCUGAUGGAGGCAGACAAGGCUCAGACUGGGCAGGUCAAGCUCUCCGUGUACUGGGACUACAUGAAGGCGAUAGGACUUUUCAUCUCCUUUCUGAGCAUCUUCCUUUUCCUGUGUAACCACGUUGCUUCUCUGGCCUCUAACUAUUGGCUCAGUCUCUGGACUGAUGACCCCAUCGUCAAUGGGACCCAGGAGCACACGAAAGUCCGGCUGAGCAUCUAUGGAGCCCUGGGCAUUUCUCAAGGUAUCACGGUGUUCGGCUACUCCAUGGUGGUGUCCGUUGGGGGCAUCUUCGCCUCGCGCCGCCUGCACCUGGACCUGCUGCAUAACGUCCUCAGGUCGCCCAUGAGCUUCUUCGAGCGGACCCCCAGCGGGAACCUGGUGAACCGCUUCUCCAAGGAGCUGGACACGGUGGACUCGAUGAUCCCGCAGGUCAUCAAGAUGUUCAUGGGCUCCCUGUUCAAUGUCAUUGGCGCCUGCAUCAUCAUCCUGCUGGCCACUCCCAUGGCGGCCGUCAUCAUCCCGCCCCUGGGCCUCAUCUACUUCCUUGUCCAGAGGUUCUACGUGGCCUCCUCCCGGCAGCUGAAGCGCCUCGAGUCGGUCAGCCGCUCGCCGGUUUAUUCCCACUUCAACGAGACCUUGCUGGGGGUCAGCGUCAUCCGCGCCUUCGAGGAACAGGAGCGCUUCAUCCGCCAGAGCGACCUGAAGGUGGACGAGAACCAGAAGGCCUAUUACCCCAGCAUCGUGGCCAACAGGUGGCUGGCUGUGCGGCUGGAGUGUGUAGGCAACUGCAUUGUCCUGUUUGCCGCCCUGUUUGCAGUGAUCUCCCGGCACAGUCUCAGUGCUGGCUUGGUGGGCCUCUCAGUGUCUUACUCACUGCAGGUCACCACAUACUUGAACUGGCUUGUUCGGAUGUCGUCCGAGAUGGAGACCAACAUUGUGGCCGUGGAGAGACUCAAGGAGUAUUCAGAGACUGAGAAGGAGGCUCCCUGGCGAAUCCAGGAGAUGGCACCCCCCAGCAACUGGCCCCAGGUGGGCCGAGUGGAGUUCCGAGACUAUGGCCUGCGUUACCGAGAGGACCUGGACCUGGUUCUCAAACACAUCAACGUCACCAUCGAUGGAGGGGAGAAGGUUGGCAUCGUGGGGCGGACAGGAGCCGGGAAGUCAUCCCUGACCCUGGGAUUGUUUCGGAUCAACGAGUCUGCCGAGGGAGAGAUCAUCAUUGACGAUGUCAACAUUGCCAAGAUCGGCCUGCAUGACCUCCGCUUCAAGAUCACCAUCAUCCCCCAGGACCCCGUUUUGUUUUCGGGUUCCCUCCGCAUGAACCUGGACCCAUUCAGCCAGUAUUCGGACGAAGAGGUUUGGACGUCUCUGGAGCUGGCCCACCUGAAGGGCUUCGUGUCGGCCCUCCCCCAUAAGCUGAACCACGAGUGCGCAGAAGGCGGGGAGAACCUCAGCGUUGGGCAGCGCCAGCUUGUGUGCCUGGCCCGGGCCCUGCUGAGGAAGACGAAGAUCCUUGUGUUGGAUGAGGCCACGGCGGCUGUGGACCUGGAAACGGACAACCUCAUUCAGUCCACCAUCCGGACGCAGUUUGACGACUGUACCGUCCUCACCAUUGCUCACCGGCUCAACACCAUCAUGGACUACACAAGUACUGCUCUAGGGAGAAAAACAGUCUCAAGACUUUAAUUUCUUGGGAGGAAGUACUGGGCCAAGGAGCAGCAUCCCAGGGAAUGGCCAAGUUGGCUCAGCAUCUGGUGGUUGGUCCCUGUGUUCCUGGAAGGAAACGGGCAAGUGGGGUCCUUUCUUCAAAGCCCUUUAGGUCCCUUGAUUGGAGACCAAAGUGAGACCCAAAAAGCAAAGAGUGGUCACAGCUGCCCCAAGAUUCAUGCUCGCUAUGUGAAUUACAUUGCUGACUUCAAGCCAGAGAAGCAUCUUUCUUCUUUUAGGUGGAAAUACAUAUUUAUUUUUUCGAAGGUUCCUGCCAUCUCUCCAGGAGUCGGGAUGGGGCACCCUCUCAUCUGCUGCUGUUCUUUCUCCUUGGCGAGCAUGUUGUUUCUAGCGGGACCUCUUGGAAUUGGGAACCUAGAGAUUAAGAAUCAGAUGGAAAGCUGAGACCAAGACAUGCAGUGACUUGUCCAAGGUCGGCCAUGGCAAAGCAAGGAACUGAGCCCAUGCAAACUGGAUAAGUAUGUGGAACAUUCAGCACCUCACCCAGCACAUAGUAGGUGUUCAACUAAUGAUAGAGAAAGAAGAAAGAAGUUGGGGUGAUGCCUCUUCAUCUGGGACACCAAGAUGGAGGAACCAGGAUUUGACCUCGUCUCAGACCCUACCCUCUUAACCAUUACUGCCACCUUGGCUGUGACUGCAGUCUGCAGUGGUGGGGACUCUAAAGCCAGUGGCGGAUGUCAACAUGGGUCCACCGUCCUCUGCUGUAAGUCCUGGAUGGUGCCCGCUCCCCCUCCAUCUCUUGCCCAUCACCUCCUUGGGCGUCUGGGCGUAGUCCUUCAAUCGUUCCACCGACACGAUGCUGCUCUCCAGGUCUGUCCAGCUGCGAACAGCCCACUGCAGCGUCUGGGUCACCUGAUUCGAGAAGACACCUCAGGACAACUUCAGCAAGGCCACCCCACAGUUGAACUGGAAUAUAUGGACCAGAAAGGAGCCCUCGGACAUCAGCUUAUCCAACCCUUCUUGAAACAGUGAGUCUUUAUAGUAUCUGAAGUAGAGGAAUUACUGCCCAUUUUUCAGAAGAGCACACCGAGGCUCCGAGAGGGAAGAAGAGUCUCGCCCGAGGUCCAGCCUAGGCUCUUGCAGAGCCGUGUCUUCCUCACUGGUUGGUAGUUUGGACUCAGGUCCUUGAAGGUGCCACUGGCAGAGGUCUGUGUCCAUUCUGCCCGCACCCCAGAGCCCAGGUUGGGGUGUCAGAAGUACCUGCAGGGCGGCC